ACUCCUACGGGAGGCAGCAGUGGGGAAUAUUGCACAAUGGGCGCAAGCCUGAUGCAGCCAUGCCGCGUGUAUGAAGAAGGCCUUCGGGUUGUAAGUACUUUCAGCAGUGAGGAAGGUGGGUAUGUUAAUAGCAUAUUCAUUUUGACGUUUAGCUGCAGAAGAAGCACCGGCUAACUCCGUGCCAGCAGCCGCGGUAAUACGGAGGGUGCGAGCGUUAAUCGGAUUACUGGGCGUAAAGCGCAUGCAGGUGGUUGUUAAGUCAGAUGUGAAAGCCCGGGGCUCAACCUCGGAAUUGCAUUUGAAACUGGCAAACUAGAGUACUGUAGAGGGGGUAGAAUUUCAGGUGUAGCGGUGAAAUGCGUAGAGAUCUG
rnacentral:rRNA from 1 species